rnacentral:rRNA from 1 species
UACGUAGGGUGCAAGCGUUGUCCGGAAUUACUGGGCGUAAAGCGCGCGUAGGCGGCUUUGUAAGUUAGAGGUGAAAGCCCGGAGCUCAACUCCGGAACUGCCUUUAAGACUGCAUCGCUAGAACGUCGGAGAGGUAAGUGGAAUUCCGAGUGUAGAGGUGAAAUCCGUAGAUAUUCGGAAGAACACCAGUGGCGAAGGCGACUUACUGGACGACUGUUGACGCUGAGGUGCGAAAGCGUGGGGAGCAAACAGG